rnacentral:rRNA from 1 species
CAAUAGCGUAUAUUAAAGUUGUUGCAGUUAGAAAGCUCGUAGUUGGAUUUCUGGUGGGAGCGAUCGGUCUGGCGCUUAGCGCGAGUACUUGCAUCGUCUCCGGCCAUCCUUGGGGAGAGUCUGUCUGGCAUUAGGUUGUCGGGCAGAGGAUCCUCAUCGUUUACUGUGAAAAAAUUAGAGUGUUCAAAGCAGGCUUAUGCCGUUGAAUAUAUUAGCAUGGAAUAAUAAGAUAGGACUUUGGUACUAUUUUGUUGGUUUGCGCACCAAAGUAAUGAUUAAUAGGGACAGUUGGGGGUAUUCGUAUUCCGUUGUCAGAGGUGAAAUUCUUGGAUUUACGGAAGACGAACUACUGCGAAAGCAUUUACCAAGGAUGUUUUCAUUAA